GACGAACGCUGGCGGCGUGCCUAACACAUGCAAGUCGAACGGAGAUACGAUUUCGGUUGUAUCUUAGUGGCGAACGGGUGAGUAACGCGUGAGCAACCUGACCUUUAGAGGGGGAUAACACUUGGAAACAGGUGCUAAUACCGCAUAAGACCACGACCCGACAUCGGGAUGAGGUCAAAGGAGAAAUCCGCUAAAGGAGGGGCUCGCGUCCCAUUAGAUAGAUGGCGGGGUAACGGCCCACCAUGUCGACGAUGGGUAGCCGAGCUGAGAGGCUGAUCGGCCACACCUGGAACUGAGACACGGUCCAGACUCCUACGGGAGGCAGCAGUGGGGAAUAUUGGGCAAUGGGCGCAAGCCUGACCCAGCAACGCCGCGUGAGGGAAGAAGGUCUUCGGAUUGGUAAACCUCUGUCCUUGGUGACGAAACAAAUGACGGUAGCCAAGGAGGAAGCCCCGGCUAACUACGUGC
rnacentral:rRNA from 1 species